GUGUGUGUGUAUGUGUAUGCUUGUGCAUGUGUGUGUAUUGAUAAAUGUGGUAUACUAUUCGAAAUACAACUCUGAAAGGAAAAAAAAAAAUUUUCUCCAUCGAUUUGAUUCUGCUGAGUAUUGGAUAUUUGAUGUUAGAUGCUGUUGCAACGCUAAACUUUUCAACUAUUAGUUUUUCAGGAUAUUCAAAACAUUUUCAAUAUAUGCAAGUUGAGAGUUUCAAAAAAAAGUUAUAUUCCAAUUUGCGGAAAUUAACAACAUUUUAGUAGAUAUAACUGCACAGUUUUCUAAUGAUCCAGAAGAAGGUUUUACACAACGUAAAAUUUCAGAUAAACUUAAUGUUUUGAAAAGAAAAAUUGCAAAUAUAGAUAUCUAAUACAUCGCUUUUGUAUUAGUAAAACAGUUAUCAUUAAUUAGCGGUAAAAAAUCGAGUAGAUACAGUUAAAAAUAUUUUGCUCUUACUACCAACAGACACUAUUUUGUCCGAAUACAGCAUGAAUGGUCUAAAGAAGAAAAAAAAGUUUAAAGAAUUGACAAGUCUAUGUAAUGCUGAAACUGCUUUAAAGUCAAAUAAAAACAAAAUGGAUGCCAUCCAUCCAACUUAUUGGGAGAGUAAUUAGGAAUUCUUCUGACCGAUUAAAGAAAACAUCCACUAAUAUGAAUAUCAAUCAAUGAUCGGCUUAA